AUUGAACGCUGGCGGCAGGCUUAACACAUGCAAGUCGAGCGAGCGGCGGACGGGUGAGUAGUGUCUGGGAAACUGCCUGAUGGAGGGGGGUAACUACUGGAAACGGUAGCUAAUACCGCAUACCAUCAUAUGUGCCCAGAUGGGAUUCGCUAGUAGGUGGGGUAAUGGCUCACCUAGGCGACGAUCCCUAGCUGGUCUGAGAGGAUGACCAGCAACACUGGAACUGAGACACGGUCCAGACGCCUACGGGAGGCAGCAGUGGGGAAUAUUGCACAAUGGGCGCAAGCCUGAUGCAGCCAUGCCGCGUGUAUGAAGAAGGCCUGCGGGUUGUAAAGUACUUUCAGCGAGGAGGCGUUACUCGCAGAAGAAGCACCGGCUAACUCCGUGCCAGCAGCCGCGGGAAUAC
rnacentral:rRNA from 1 species